rnacentral:rRNA from 1 species
GAUGAACGCUGGCGGCGUGCCUAACAUAUGCAAGUCGAGCGCGAUUAAGUGGAGUGAGAACUUCGGUUCAAGUGAAACUUAUGAAAGCGGCGGACGGGUGAGUAACGCGUGGGUAACCUGCCCCAUACAAAGGGAUAGCCACUGGAAACGGUGAUUAAUACCUUAUAAGUCGGUAGUCUCGCAUGAGACAGCCGACAAAGAUUUAUCGGUAUGGGAUGGACCCGCGUCUGAUUAGCUAGUUGGUGAGGUAACGGCUCACCAAGGCGACGAUCAGUAGCCGACCUGAGAGGGUGAUCGGCCACACUGGAACUGAGACACGGUCCAGACUCCUACGGGAGGCAGCAGUGGGGAAUAUUGCACAAUGGGCGCAAGCCUGAUGCAGCAACGCCGCGUGAGUGAUGAAGGCUUUCGGGUCGUAAACUCUGUCCUAUGGGAAGAAAAAAUAGACGGUACCAUAGGAGGAAGCCCGGCUAACUACGUGCCAGCAGCCGCGGUAAAG